rnacentral:lncRNA from 1 species
UCAGAGGACUUACAUCGGAGGGAAAGAAGAACAGAGGACUGCGCGGAAAGGGUCACAACAACCACAAGAACCGCCCCUCUCGCAGAGCUACAUGGAAGAAGAACAACUCUCUCUCCCUCCGCCGUUACCGUUAAUUGCUUUUUGCUGCUUUCACUAUUAUCAUCAACUUCUUCUAGUUUCUAUGUUGCUGCUCUUUUAUCUUUCGCAUGAUGACUCUUGUUUUUGCAAAAUUUUGGAGCCUAUACAAUUGCGUUCGUUUUAUGGUUUUAAACAUUUGCUUGACUUCAUGUUCGUUCUGUUUUUGUGAUCAG